UACGUAGGGACCAAGCGUUGUUCGGAUUCACUGGGCGUAAAGGGUGCGUAGGUGGCUGGGUAAGUCUGAUGUGAAAUCUCCGAGCUUAACUCGGAAACUGCAUCGGAUACUAUUCGGCUGGAGGGUUGGAGGGGGGACUGGAAUUCUUGGUGUAGCGGUGAAAUGCGUAGAUAUCAAGAGGAACACCUGAGGUGAAGACGGGUUGCUGGGCCGAAAUUGACGCUGAGGAGCGAAAGCGUGGGGAGCAAACAGG
rnacentral:rRNA from 1 species